UGCCUGGAAUGGGAAUGAUGACCUCCUUUCCCUUCCCUUUUUUCCUAAAUCCCCUCUAUUAUGCCCUUCGUGUCCAUCUCAGACAGUUUGGAAAAAAGGUACAUGUGUGAGUGUAUUCAGGCCAGGUGAUUUGACAUCAAAAGUAAUGGUCAUCAACAGGAAAGCUGACUUUAUUUUUGUAAUAAGGCGUUAAUUCUUAAAGACGUCUCUAUGGUGAUAAUCAAUGCAUUACACCCGAGAUUUAGACGCCACCAGCAGGGGUCGCUGACAACUCAUCACUCCCGGGAGGCACAGCGGUGUCGCAGCUGUGUUCAGUUACUAAUUAGUACGUUUUUUUAAGUGAUUGGCUCACCUGUUACUUCUGCACUGUGGCUGCUCGCUUGGCUUUGGUUCAGCUGAGUUAACCAAACAGCACGUUGUUCAGCCGUCCGAGGUUUCUUUCACAAGGUUAAUUAUGAAUCAAACUGAACAAACUUGUCUGGAGCUGCUCUCAACUAUGGAGGAGAAACUGCGGUUCUGUGAGUAACACAACUGAACUAUGAACAAGAAACUGCGAGCUGUAAGUCACUCUUUUUAUUAACAAGCGUUAACGUAGAUUUGAUUCCUUGUUGGAUUAACAUGUUUCAAUACCAAGAGUUUGUGUUGGUGUAUUGGUAUGUAAAAGUGUAGUUUGAAUCAGGAUUCUUAUGUUAAGGUCGAGUACGUUCAAGUAAACAAUGGGUGUCAAGUGAGUAAGACGAAUUUGCUUCGUGGCCAAAAUGUACUUCAGGGUUAUUUCUA